rnacentral:rRNA from 1 species
GACGAACGCUGGCGGCGCGCCUAACACAUGCAAGUCGAACGAGCGAGAGAGAGCUUGCUUUCUCAAGCGAGUGGCGAACGGGUGAGUAACGCGUGAGGAACCUGCCUCAAAGAGGGGGACAACAGUUGGAAACGACUGCUAAUACCGCAUAAGCCCACGACCCGGCAUCGGGUAGAGGGAAAAGGAGCAAUCCGCUUUGAGAUGGCCUCGCGUCCGAUUAGCUAGUUGGUGAGGUAACGGCCCACCAAGGCGACGAUCGGUAGCCGGACUGAGAGGUUGAACGGCCACAUUGGGACUGAGACACGGCCCAGACUCCUACGGGAGGCAGCAGUGGGGAAUAUUGCACAAUGGGGGAAACCCUGAUGCAGCGACGCCGCGUGGAGGAAGAAGGUCUUCGGAUUGUAAACUCCUGUUGUGGAGGAAGAUAAUGACGGUACUCAACAAGGAAGUGACGGCUAACUACGUG